rnacentral:rRNA from 1 species
GUAGGGAAUAUUGGUCAAUGGACGAAAGUCUGAACCAGCCAUUCCGCGUGCAGGAAGAAGAUUCUAUGGAUUGUAAACUGCUUUUAGCAGAGAAGAAACGCCUUCAUUGAUGAGGGUUUGACGGUAUCUGCGGAAUAAGCACCGGCUAACUCCGUGCCAGCAGCCGCGGUAAUACGGGGGGUGCAAGCGUUAUCCGGAAUCACUGGGUUUAAAGGGUGCGUAGGCGGGAAAUUAAGUCAGUGGUGAAAGUCUGUUGCUUAACGAUAGAAUUGCCGUUGAUACUGAUUUUCUUGAAUUGGGUUGAGGUUAGCGGAAUGUGACAUGUAGCGGUGAAAUGCAUAGAUAUGUCAUGGAACACCAAUUGCGAAGGCAGCUAGCUGGGCCUUGAUUGACGCUGAGGCACGAAAGCGUGGGUAGCGAACAGGAUUAGAUACCCCAGUAGUCC